GGAACUGUUAGCUCUGUUGGUAGAGCGUCGAACUCGCCAUCCUUAGGUCGCGGGUUCAAUGCCCAGCCAGUCCAGUCCA